GACGAACGCUGGCGGCAGGCCUAACACAUGCAAGUCGAGCGAAGCGGCGGACGGGUGAGUAACACGUGAGUAACCUGCCUUAGACAUUGGGAUAGCCUCGGGAAACCGGGAUUAAUACCAAAUGGUCUAAGAUGGACUAGCGUCCCAUUAGCUAGUUGGUGGGUAACGGCCCACCAAGGCGACGAUGGGUAGACGGCCGGAGAGGGUGACCGGCCACAUUGGGACUGAGAUACGGCCCAGACUCUACGGGAGGCAGCAGUGGGGGAUAUUGCACAAUGGGCGAAAGCCUGAUGCAGCGACGCCGCGUGGGGGAUGAAGGCUUGCGGGUUGUAAACCUCCGUACAAAGGCCCGGGGUAGGUGGAGAAGAAGCGCCGGCUAACUACGUGCCAGCAGCCGCGGUAAUUC
rnacentral:rRNA from 1 species